AGAUAAUAGAUACCCAGGUAGUCCACGCCCUAAACGAUGUCAACUGGCUUUACGGAGUAUCGACCCUCUGUGAGGCGAAAGCUAACGCGUUAAGUUGACCGCCUGGGUAGUACGACCGCAAGGUUAAAACUCAAAGGAAUAGACGGGGGCUUGCACAAGCGGUGGAGCGUGUGGCUUAAAUUCGUCGCUAAGCGAAGAACCUUACCAGGGCUAGAAAUCCUACUGCACGUCUAGCGAAAGCUAGAAAGCCUUCGAGGGUGUAGGACAGGUGAUGCAUGGCUGUCGUCAGUUCGUGGUUUGAAUCGUUCCCUUCAGUGGGGUAACGAACGCAACCCUCGUUGCCAGUUACAAGUGUCUGGCGAGACUGCCCCCUCACGGGGGAGGAAGGUGAGGAUGACGCCAAGUCAGCAUGUCCCUCUGAUGUCCUGGGCUGCACACGCGCUACAAUCGCCUUUACAAAGGGACGCAAUGCGGUAACGCGGAGCAAAUCCUUAAAAGAGGCGCCAGUUCGGAUUGGGGUCUGCAACCCGA
rnacentral:rRNA from 1 species